ensembl:lncRNA
AGCGGACUGGUAGCUAGAGGCCAAGUCAGGAUGUAGGCGCAGGGUGGAAGACACUUUCUGAAAGGCCCAGGAGACCAGAAGAGUGAGGAGAGCCUGCUAGAGGAGUCCCAUCAGUUGAGGGCUUUCACGCUCCUUCUCACCGGUUACAGCUUUGGCCAAAUGAAAUCAGUCACUUUGUGUGGAGUGCCUUUGAAGCUGAACUGUUCUCCCCUCACCAGGCUUUCUCCUCUAGCCUUGCUGGUUUCUUCCACAGCCCCAGCAGCCUCCCAUCUCAGAGGCCUAACCUCAGUCAAGUCCUGCUGACCCUUCCUACAUGAUGGUUUUCAUAGCCUGCACACGAAGAGCUGGAGGAGCCGUCUCCCCAAGUCCACACAGCAGUGGGUAGUUGCAGCACAACUCGCCUGGUCUCCAGCCCACUCCAGCCCUCUGCUGGGACCCCUGCAAAGCCAGAGGCAGAGGAGCUGGAAGGAGGAGGAGGAGGUAGGGGGAGGGUGGGGGAGAAGCAGUGAGUAAUGGUCGGCUUCCCCAGUCAGCCAGAAAAAAAUAGGGCAAGCUCAGCUUGCGGAAGCACCCAGCACAGCAUCCGCCACGUGAUCAGCCAGAGGCGGAGACCGCGCAGGGGGCCUCUUCCUAUAAACAAGCCCAUUGCCUUGUGGUAAAAACACGAGGGGGCAGUGUUUCUGGUUUCCUGGAAGGCAGCCCGGAGGCCACUGCCAUUUUUGCAUCUUUUUGCGUUAUCACAUUGACUUGGGGGAGUUGGACACAGUUUGUUGGGCUGUAUAGGAAAACACAGUAGCCAAGCCUUCCAAACAGGGCGCUUUUGUCCACAGCUGACACCCUGGCCGGGAGCCCAGCUCAGCCUCAGCGAAGAUUUAGGUCAGAAGGAAAAUGGCGGGGUGGGGGGUAGGGGGGUGGCUGCAGCCUUCGUAUCUGGCCUAGCAAGAUGGAGACGGUUCCCACGGUCACACCUGUGCUCCUCCGGCAGGCGCAUGGGGCGGCUGGCCUUUCCUCCGCCAGCACUGCGGCCUCUAGGAGGAGAUGUGGGUAGGCCGCAUCGGCCCUGCAAAAGAGCUAUUUGGCAAAUUCCUAUUGUGCUGGAAAUUCCCCAUUUUGCCAUUUCGUUCAGUUGUCACCACUUCCCAGUUAGCUCAAGUCAAAAGCUCUUCUCUUACCUGUUGGGAGUGUGCAGACCUGUGAGGAGGAGGAAUUGUGACCCAAGAGAAGCUUCCGGUCAGCUGUGGAGGUGGCCAGGGAGCCGGGAACCAUUUCCAAAGCAAGUAAGCUUCAAGAGGCAAAAAAGCACGUCGUCCUGAGUCACGGAGACUUUGAGGGCUGUGCCUGCUUUAUAGGAAGUUCAUUUUCCACAGUGUUUUCCCCAUUCAAAGGAGAGUUUUAGAGGACCUGCCCUUUAACCACUUGCUGCCAUGCUCCCCCUGAAACACCCUUUCAAAAAGGCUCCUUUUCACGGGGAUCAACACCAGAACCUAUCCCGAAGUUCUUGUCGCCCAUGCGCAUUUAUGGGGUUGGCAAAUAGGCUUCAGGUGCCCGCAUCUUUUGUUAAAAAAGGGUCACCUGCCUAGGCCUGGCGCCUGGCUGCAUUGCGAAGCUCGCUUGCUGGCCUCGCCCGCCAUCUUCUGGAUGAAGGUAGAACUGCUGCCAGCGAAAGGCUAUUUGGACAGAAGAUGCUUCAGGGCAAACUUGAAAACCAACCAAGGAGGGCCCAUGAAAAAGAACUACUUUUGAAUUCCCAGAAAACUUUCACGGACUUCAUUUUCAACAGCAAAGAUGUGUGUAAAGAUACAUCUCUUUGUUAUUUUUUUAAAUCAUUCCCAGUGUGUCUUGCCUCACUUAUUACCAAACAAGCAUGCAUUUGAACCCCGGCUAUGAGCCAGAGGCCAUGCUAGGUGCUGGGGGCAGAUGAAUCACACAGUCUCUGUUUUAAAAGAAAGCCUGGAGUCUUUUCGUAGGAACCUAAAACUUCUCCUUAAAAUUCAAUUUAGAAAAUAAAAAGUCUGGAGUCUCUUUGGACAAACCAAAAAUUUCUCUAUAAGAUUAAUUAAAAAAACACCUAAAGUCCAGAGGUCCAGAAACCUGUGACCCAAGGGUAACAUUGCAAUGUGAUCAGUGCCAUUAGGGGG